rnacentral:rRNA from 1 species
GCUAUCUGCAGUCGACGAACUCUGGUAUUGAUUGGUGCUUGCAUCAUGAUUUACAUUUGAGUGAGUGGCGAACUGGUGAGUAACACGUGGGAAACCUGCCCAGAAGCGGGGGAUAACACCUGGAAACAGAUGCUAAUACCGCAUAACAACUUGGACCGCAUGGUCCGAGUUUGAAAGAUGGCUUCGGCUAUCACUUUUGGAUGGUCCCGCGGCGUAUUAGCUAGAUGGUGGGGUAACGGCUCACCAUGGCAAUGAUACGUAGCCGACCUGAGAGGGUAAUCGGCCACAUUGGGACUGAGACACGGCCCAAACUCCUACGGGAGGCAGCAGUAGGGAAUCUUCCACAAUGGACGAAAGUCUGAUGGAGCAACGCCGCGUGAGUGAAGAAGGGUUUCGGCUCGUAAAACUCUGUUGUUAAAGAAGAACAUAUCUGAGAGUAACUGUUCAGGUAUUGACGGUAUUUAACCAGAAAGCCACGGCUAACUACGUGCCAG